UGGGGGAAUGCGGUGGCCGCUGGCAGCGGGCAUAGCUGGACACUCGGCGGAGAUGUGCGCACGGAAACAGGAGCCCUCGGCGGUAGGCUGUCGUUCAAGUUAACGGGCAGUUCUUUUUCGGGGGCGUUAAAGUGUGUGGACGGCUACGGACGCCUGGGUGUCGCUCGUUUUUUUUUUUCUUUCUUUUUUUUUUUUUUACCUCCCUUCCCUCCCCCGACUUUAUUUUUCCGGGGAUUUUCUGUGUUGCAGGAGAGCCCGGAAUGAGGGAGCAGCCAGGGAGGAUUCCCCACGCAUUGCAGGCAGCUGUGAAAGGGGAUGGUGAAACGAAAAGCCUCUGACCCUCAGCAGCACCCUUCUGCCUGCUGCCCCACAUCGUAGCGACGAUAACCAUCGAGCUGUGGAGUUUGUGAAGCCAACAGCAGCACCAUGUUCUACGGUUCUUCCUCUGGGGCCAGCAUGUCCCUGCCAUCCAAGAGCCGGCUGAAACGCCAGAGCAGGACCUUCACACAGGUACACACACACACACACACACACACAC
ensembl:lncRNA